AGCGAACGCUGGCGGCAUGCUUAACACAUGCAAGUCGCACGGUCAGCAAUGGCAGUGGCGGACGGGUGAGUAACGCGUAGGUAUCUAUCCACGGGUGGGGGACAACGUCGGGAAACUGACGCUAAUACCGCAUGAUACCUGAGGGUCAAAGGCGCAAGUCGCCUGUGGAGGAGCCUGCGUACGAUUAGCUAGUUGGUGGGGUAAAGGCCUACCAAGGCGACGAUCGUUAGCUGGUCUGAGAGGAUGAUCAGCCACAUUGGGACUGAGACACGGCCCA
rnacentral:rRNA from 1 species